rnacentral:lncRNA from 1 species
UCCGCGCUCCACCACUUUUUGUUGAAUUGAUUCGGCUGCAGCUUUAAAUGUAUUAGCGUUAUCUGACAUCAUUAUUCUUGGAAGUGAACGACGUGCCACAAAUCUCCUAAAAGCUAACAUGAAUGACUCUUCUUUCAUAUCCGGUACAAUUUCUAGAUGUACUGCUCGUGUUGCUGCACAUGUAAACAGGCAAAUAUAAGUUUUGCAGUCAAUGUUAUUUUGUCCUUUUGUACACAAAGCGCCUGUAAAGUCGACACCUGUAACAAAAAAGGGGUAUUCAUCGUUAAGUCUAUCUUUCGGAAGCGGCGGUGGCUCAGGUGCGCGGUAAGGUUUUCC